UUAAAUUGAAGAGUUUGAUCAUGGCUCAGAUUGAACGCUGGCGGCAGGCCUAACACAUGCAAGUCGAACGGUAACAGGAAGCAGCUUGCUGCUUUGCUGACGAGUGGCGGACGGGUGAGUAAUGUCUGGGAAACUGCCUGAUGGAGGGGGAUAACUACUGGAAACGGUGGCUAAUACCGCAUAACGUCGCAAGACCAAAGAGGGGGACCUUCGGGCCUCUUGCCAUCAGAUGUGCCCAGAUGGGAUUAGCUUGUUGGUGAGGUAACGGCUCACCAAGGCGACGAUCCCUAGCUGGUCUGAGAGGAUGACCAGCCACACUGGAACUGAGACACGGUCCAGACUCCUACGGGAGGCAGCAGUGGGGAAUAUUGCACAAUGGGCGCAAGCCUGAUGCAGCCAUGCCGCGUGUAUGAAGAAGGCCUUCGGGUUGUAAAGUACUUUCAGCGGGGAGGAAGGUGUUGUGGUUAAUAACCGCAGCAAUUGACGUUACCCGCAGAAGAAGCACCGGCUAACUCCGUGCCAGCAGCCGCGGUAAUACGGAGGGUGCAAGCGUUAAUCGGAAUUACUGGGCGUAAAGCGCACGCAGGCGGUCUGUCAAGUCGGAUGUGAAAUCCCCGGGCUCAACCUGGGAACUGCAUUCGAAACUGGCAGGCUUGAGUCUUGUAGAGGGGGGUAGAAUUCCAGGUGUAGCGGUGAAAUGCGUAGAGAUCUGGAGGAAUACCGGUGGCGAAGGCGGCCCCCUGGACAAAGACUGACGCUCAGGUGCGAAAGCGUGGGGAGCAAACAGGAUUAGAUACCCUGGUAGUCCACGCCGUAAACGAUGUCUACUUGGAGGUUGUGCCCUUGAGGCGUGGCUUCCGGAGCUAACGCGUUAAGUAGACCGCCUGGGGAGUACGGCCGCAAGGUUAAAACUCAAAUGAAUUGACGGGGGCCCGCACAAGCGGUGGAGCAUGUGGUUUAAUUCGAUGCAACGCGAAGAACCUUACCUGGUCUUGACAUCCACAGAACUUUCCAGAGAUGGAUUGGUGCCUUCGGGAACUGUGAGACAGGUGCUGCAUGGCUGUCGUCAGCUCGUGUUGUGAAAUGUUGGGUUAAGUCCCGCAACGAGCGCAACCCUUAUCCUUUGUUGCCAGCGGUUAGGCCGGGAACUCAAAGGAGACUGCCAGUGAUAAACUGGAGGAAGGUGGGGAUGACGUCAAGUCAUCAUGGCCCUUACGACCAGGGCUACACACGUGCUACAAUGGCGCAUACAAAGAGAAGCGACCUCGCGAGAGCAAGCGGACCUCAUAAAGUGCGUCGUAGUCCGGAUUGGAGUCUGCAACUCGACUCCAUGAAGUCGGAAUCGCUAGUAAUCGUGGAUCAGAAUGCCACGGUGAAUACGUUCCCGGGCCUUGUACACACCGCCCGUCACACCAUGGGAGUGGGUUGCAAAAGAAGUAGGUAGCUUAACCUUCGGGAGGGCGCUUACCACUUUGUGAUUCAUGACUGGGGUGAAGUCGUAACAAGGUAACCGUAGGGGAACCUGCGGUUGGAUCACCUCCUUACCUUAAAGAA
rnacentral:rRNA from 2 species